rnacentral:rRNA from 1 species
CAAUAGCGUAUAUUUAAGUUGUUGCAGUUAAAAAGCUCGUAGUUGGAUUUCGGUUGAGAACGGCCGGUCCGCCGUUUGGUGUGCACUGGCUGGUUUCAACUUCCUGUAGAGGACGCGCUCUGGCUUCACGGCUGGACGCGGAGUCUACGUGGUUACUUUGAAAAAAUUAGAGUGCUCAAAGCGGGCUUACGCUUGAAUAUUUCAGCAUGGAAUAACACUAUAGGACUCCUGUCCUAUUUCGUUGGUCUCGGGACGGGAGUAAUGAUUAAGAGGAACAGUUGGGGGCAUUCGUAUUUCAUUGUCAGAGGUGAAAUUCUUGGAUUUAUGAAAGACGAACUUCUGCGAAAGCAUUUGCCAAGGAUGUUUUCAUUAA